CAAUAGCGUAUAUUAAAGUUGUUGCGGUUAAAAGCUCGUAGUUGGAUUUCUGUGGUGGGCAGCCGGUCCACACUAUGUGUGAGCAUCGGUUCGGCCACUGCAUCCUCCUGAGGACCGUGGUGCGCUUCAUUGCGUGGUGCGGAAUUCAGGACUUUUACUUUGAGGAAAUUAGAGUGUUCACGGCAGGCGCUUGCCCUGAAUAUAUUAGCAUGGAAUAAUAAUAUAGGGCGAUAGUUCUAUUUUGUUGGUUUCUAGAGCUGUCGCAAUGAUUAAUAGGGAUAGUUGGGGGCAUUCGUAUUAUGAAGUCAGAGGUGGAAUUCUCAGAUUUGUUAAAGACUAACUUAUGCGAAGACAUUUGCCAAGGAUGUUUUCUAUUAAUCAAGAACGAAAGUUAAGGGGAGUCAAAGAUGAUCAGAUACC
rnacentral:rRNA from 1 species